UGUAACGGAUAAUAUUCAUGUAAUCAUUCUGACAUAUGUGAAUGGUAUUGAUUUUAUUAUUAUGAUCAUGAUUAUGAUUAUUUGUUUUGUGAUUUUUAUUAAAAGGAAGUUUUAAGAAAAGUCAAUGUUUGUGUCAGAAUAGGUGUGAUUGCUUUCAUUGUUUCUUCUGGGGUGCAUAGAAAAGUGAGAGAUUUGGUUUUAAUUAAUUUUGUAAAUAUGUAAAACAAAAUUCUAUCAGAGGAUUCAAUUAUGAAGCUGAGCAGUUUGGUGGAAUGAAAUCACUAUGAUGGGCUUUUUUGUGUUCUUUCACAGAGUUCUGUAGAAAAGGGAUACAAACAACAAAUAACAAACAAACAAACCACAAAAAAACAAAACUACUGUCUCUCUCUCUCUCUCUCUCUCUCUCUCCCAUGUUUCACUAUGUUCAUUACAUUGAGUGGGAGAUACAAUCACAACCUAAAACUCCCUCUGACACUGAGUUUUGGGCUAUUCACUCAUUCAUUUGACCAUUCAUGAUGAUAAUUAUGACGAUGAUGAUGUUAUAUAUAUAUAUAUAUAUAUAUAUAGUUUUUAUUUAUUUGCACAAGGCCAUCAGGCUACUAUCUUUUACUGUACCAGGGUCUCUAUACCAUUUAAAUGAAGGGACUUUCUUGUGUGAUGAAAAAUACAUUGAAAAUCCUGAUCAAGAUAAGUCUGCCUCGGAGUUAAUAAAUUUAUUUAUUUUUCAUACAAAAAAUAAUACAAGGGAAGUGGUUUAUUUUUAAACUUCUUUCUUCCACCGAAGAAAACACUAUCAAAAUCACGCAAUGAAUUAAGUUCCCCUCUCUCAUUUCUCGCUGUAUCGACCACUUGAUGGACACACAUGGUUUCUGGUUUUUAAUUCAAGUGAGAAAACAGGCCCACGUCAAAGCCAUGCUGCUGGAGUCAAGUAUAACUACAAUAAUAGAUAUUAUUAUCACCACAUAAGCUUUCGUUUUUUAAAAUUUACUUUCAAAAGAGAGUUUGAAACCUGGUUUGGGAGCCAGGGCAGUUAAAACUAAAGGAGAGGGUUCAUUUAUCACCGACGUCAGCUGCGUCUCCUAUUCCAUACCGGACAGACACAUAAAUGGGUCCAUUUUUAUUUUUGUUUUUGUUUUUCUUCUAUUUUUUUUUUCAUGUAUGAUGAUGUGCUCAAAUUUGAUUUUUAUCUGUAUUUUGUAUAUUUAUUUGAAUAUAAUGAUUGAGUCUUUUUACUUUUAUUGUCAUUCUUUUAUGUUUUUUGUUGGUUGGUUGGGUGAUGCUAUGCUGCAUUGAUCACUAGUUGUUUGGUAUUGUGGACACCAGAUUUGCCUGUAAAAUAACUGGCAUCUGCAUGCAGCUCAUGGAAUUGCCAGCUCUCAUGUUUGCAUGUGCUGUGAUUGUGCUGGAUAUAUAUAUAUAUAUAUGUAUUAUCUGAUUUAACCCGUUUUAUUUUUUAAUUAUUCAUAAUUAAAUAAUGUGUAAAAGUUAGAUAGUUGUUUAACUGCCACCUGUUGUUUGUUAAGGUUAUUCCUAUCCCAGUGUUUUUGGUUUAUUAUUUUUAUUAUGUGAUUAUCAAUUUUUCACCAUUUUUUAUAGGUAAAAGCUACAAGACAUUUGAACUUCAAAUAUUAUUGAGAAGGAAUCACAAAAAUUGGAAAAUUGUAUUUAAAGUGUACCGUGAAAUUUCUCCUUGCUAAUUUACCAAAAUGAGACUAUUGAAAUGAAUGUUAACAUUUUGAUAAAAAUAAAUAGAAAUAAAGAUCUGAAUGUUUAUACAUAUGUCUAUUGCUUGGUAUGGAGCAAUAUUUUAUGAAAUUGGCAUAAGAGAUAAUAUUAUAGUAAACUUUCAAAUUUUAUGCAUGAUAGUAUGCAGAGGAAAUCCUAUUGGUUCUAAAAAUCCCUCAAUAUGGCAACUCUUUCAACAAAGCUCAAGAAUGGCAACCUUAGAACAAAUAUAUUUUAUAUUUAUAGCUUAGGGCAAGCUUGCUUAGGUUCUAAGUUUGAAAUAUGUUUAACAAACAACUGAGAAAUAGAAUGAAUGUCAACUGACACAAAUUGGUGAGUGUA